rnacentral:sRNA from 1 species
AUUCUGCCCAUACGGGGAAGGAUGAGAAGCUUCGACCAAGGUUCGACUCGAGCGCCAGCGAGAGAGCGUUGCCGCAGGCAACGACCCGUAGGGCGAAGCGCGCAGCGCUGAGUAAUCCUUCCCCCACCACCA